UACGGAGGGUGCAAGCGUUACCCGGAAUCACUGGGCGUAAAGGGCGUGUAGGCGGGAUGCUAAGUCUGGCUUUGAAGACCGGAGCUCAACUCCGGGAGUGGGCUGGGGACUGGCAUUCUGGAGCUCUGGAGAGAGAACUGGAAUUCCUGGUGUAGCGGUGGAAUGCGUAGAUACCAGGAGUAACACCAACGGCGAAGGCAGGUUCUUGGACAGAAGGUGACGCUGAGGCGCGAAAGUGUGGGGAGCGAACCGG
rnacentral:rRNA from 1 species